UACGUAGGGGGCAAGCGUUGUCCGGAUUUACUGGGCGUAAAGAGCGCGUAGGCGGAAGUUUAAGCGUAGCCUGAAAGCCCCCGGCUCAACCGGGGAGAGUGGCCGCGAACUGGACUUCUUGAGGGCGAUAGAGGAGAGCGGAAUUCCUGGUGUAGCGGUGAAAUGCGUAGAGAUCAGGAGGAACACCCGUGGCGAAAGCGGCUCACUGGACCAUAACUGACGCUGAUGCACGAAAGCUAGGGGAGCAAACAGG
rnacentral:rRNA from 1 species